ACCCGUCGGCUGUCGGCGGAUUGCUCAAGCUGCUCACACGGCUAGAGCGGGUUGUCGUGUGCCGUCUGGGGGACGGACCGCGAAUCGCCCCUUCGAGGGCUUUACCAGAUCAUGAAACAGUCGACUCAGAACUGGUACAGACAAGGGGAAUCUGUAUGUUUAAUUAAAAGAAAGCAUUGCGAUGGUCCUCGCGGAUGCUGACG
rnacentral:ncRNA from 1 species